UACAGAGGUCCCAAGCGUUGUUCGGAUUCACUGGGCGUAAAGGGUGCUUAGGUGGUCGGGUAAGUCUGAUGUGAAAUCUCCGAGCUUAACUCGGAAACUGCAUCGGAUACUAUUCGGCUCGAGGGUUGGAGGGGGGACUGGAAUACUUGGUGUAGCAGUGAAAUGCGUAGAUAUCAAGUGGAACACCAGUGGCGAAGGCGAGUCCCUGGACAACUCCUGACACUGAGGCACGAAAGCUAGGGGAGCAAACAGG
rnacentral:rRNA from 1 species